AUAAAUACUGCUUUAUUGUGCAGAAUACAAAAAUGUCGACGUUUCAGUCACAAUAGACUUUUCUCAAGACAAGUCUUGAGAAAAGUCUAUUGUGACUGAAACGUCGACAUUUUUUGUAUUCUGCACAAUAAAGCAGUAUUUAUUU